ACACAUGCAAGUCGAACGAGGUCUUCGGACCUAGUGGCGCACGGGUGAGUAACAUGUGGGAAUCUACCUGAAGGUUCGGAAUAACUGCGGGAAACUGUAGCUAAUACCGGAUGUGUCUGAAAAGAGAAAGAUUUAUCGCCUUCAGAUGAGCCCGCACUAGAUUAGCUAGUUGGUGAGGUAAUUGCUCCACCAAGGCUCCGAUCUAUAGCUGAUUUGAGAGGAUGAUCAGCCACACUGGGACUGAGACACGGCCCAGACUCCUACGGGAGGCAGCAGUAGGGAAUAUUGGACAAUGGGGGAAACCCUGAUCCAGCAAUGCCGCGUGAGUGAAGAAGGCCUUCGGGUUGUAAAGCUCUUUCAUCAAUGAUGAUAAUGACAUUAGUUGAAGAAGAAGCCCCGGCUAACUUCGUGCCAGCAGCCGCGGUAAUACGAAGGGGGCUAGCGUUGUUCGGAAUCACUGGGCGUAAAGCGUAUGUAGGCGGAUCAAAAAGUUAGAUGUGAAAUCCCUGGGCUCAACCCAGGAACUGCAUUUAAAACUAGUGAUCUAGAAUUUGGUAGGG
rnacentral:rRNA from 1 species